UGCAUAGUGUCACUCAGGAGGAACAUAAUUGUUUUUUAGCAUUCUGACGCAUUCUGUUGGUUGUUCAUGGAACUAAUUCGUGUAUCUCAGCUGGGACAUAAUGCAGUAGUGGCUUAGAUGUGGUUCCUAACCUAUAUUACAUUUAUUUCGACAGUUGGAUUGAAACAUGUGGUUGGAGUACAAUGUUUGUGAAGUUUGUGCUGUUACCAUAGAUUUAGUGUCUUUGUUGUGUGUUUUAGAGAUGAGUUAUCUAAUUGAAUAAUACAGCAGUGACUAUUAGUUGUUUAUCUUCAAAAAUAACCUACAGGGCUUCCACACACCCCUGCACCUUGCCGCUCGCUUCAACAACUGAAAAAAGGGAUGAAAAACCAUCCAGUGAGAAGCAGAGACUUAGAAGGGAUUAUAGAACGGUUGAAGACCUUAAUAUACUGCCCCUCGUGAAUUUUGAACUCAAGUUGAAUAUUUCUACUUGUACCCUGUACAAAGAUAUCAACUACAUUUAUUAGUAGAUUUUUAUUGCAUUGCUAUCAACUACCUCCAUGUUGUAAAUCUUAAAAUAUACUAGAUUUUAAAACUUACACAAUUAUUUGAUAUUAUCACACAAGGUACAAGUAGAAAAAUUCAUCUGUAUUUAACCUGAUUUAAUAAUAACUGUAUAUUAGUAUUGUGUUCAAGAUCUAAAAAAGUUUUAAGAUUAAAAUGAAACUAAAAAUUUUUAUUUAUAAAGUACUGUGUAUUUAUUUAGAGAUUUGCAAUAGUUUUAUUUGAAAGCUGAGAUAAAAUUAGAACGUGGUUGUUCUGUGUAGAUAUAAUAUUUUGAAAUGAUGAGGGAAACAACAGUUAAAUAGAAUUAGAAUAAAUAGAAUUUUUACUUCUGAAUUUUUAACUAAGAAUAUAAUAAAUUAUUAUGCUAUGAUAACACAGAUACUGUAAUAAUAAACAGACACAUCUGAUCUUGUC